AGGACGAACGCUGGCGGCGUGCUUAACACAUGCAAGUCGAGCGGAAAGGCCCUUCGGGGUACUCGAGCGGCGAACGGGUGAGUAACACGUGAGUAAUCUGCCCCUAGCUCUGGGAUAGCUCCGGGAAACCGGGAUUAAUACCAGAUACAACCACUUUAGACAUCUCUUGUGGUGGAAAGAAUUUCGGCUAGGGAUGAACUCGCGGCCUAUCAGCUUGUUGGUGAGGUAACGGCUCACCAAGGCGACG
rnacentral:rRNA from 1 species